rnacentral:lncRNA from 1 species
UGGCACAACGGCUGGGAGAGGAAACUUGAUGCUUCUGGGCCACCAUUUGCCAGGGCCUCGCUCGAGAGCGGUGACGACCUAGAAGAGACUGGAGUGUGGUUAGGUCGGCCCCCUGCCAUCCAUUACACCUGCGGCAGAUGGCUCAAGUGGUAGAAUGGUUUUGUUUGCCGAGAUCAAGAAAGGAGGAGGGGAAAGCUAGAGCCUCGCCCCACUCAAAAGAAGUACCAUAAAGAGCCAAAGAAAUGAAAGAAGCCAUAUUCGUACCAUCAAAAGCAAGAAUGUUGCUGCCUUCCAGGAGUUAACCUGGACACGUUAGUGACUUUGGUACCUGGCCCGAAUUGAUAACGACUGAAUUUUAGAACCAACAUUUUUCAAAUGUAUUUUUGAUGAAAUGCCUACUUCUCCCUACACACACACACACACACACACACACAACACACACACACCUAUCUCCAGGCAGAUGCACACAGGUGUCCUUGGAGCUCUACUCCCUGAAGCCAAAUGUCAGUAAGAUCCUGCGGAUUUCCAGAUGAAGGAAGCCUCUUGUCUCCCCCCACUUUUUUCAGUCGGCCUGCUAGCUUCCACACACAAGCCCCUCUCGCAAGACAACCACCUGGCUGAAAUUUAGCCAGGUGUCAAAUGUAUCCAUCUCAUUUUCACGUGCAAUAAUGUGCCUUUCUGAUCAAUCUUCACAUCCUUGCAUCCAUUCCUUCCUCCCUGCUACUCAAGAAGCAAGAAAGGAGCACACACAUCCUCCCAGGCAGUCCAGAGGAAAGGCAGGCGUGACAAAGAACACAGACACAGUCUAAUGACAAUUUAGCCUGUCUUCUAUUCCUUGACUUUCUUGUUAAAUAAGAGGAAUGAAAAGAAAAAUAUAUUGAGGGAGACCUAAACAGAAAGCCUUGUAAGCCUUGUCUCCUCCCUUACUUCACACAGUCAUCACGAUAACACCCAUAUACAAAUUACCUUUAUGAAUAUGCUUAUUCACAUUUAAUGUGAAAUAAAAAAUUAUUUUGCUGGCCUAA